AAGUCUCUGUCGCUCAGUGACAGAGCACUGGUCUUGUAAGCCAGGGGUCGUGAGUUCAAUCCUCACAAGAUUGU
rnacentral:tRNA from 1 species